GUUAGAGUGGCAGAGCCCGGAUAGUGCAAAAGGCCUAAGCCCUUUCUACAGAGGUUCAAGUCCUCUCUCUAACU
rnacentral:tRNA from 2 species